GACUUCUAUGCAUUCAGACAGUUUGGCGCGAUAUGUCCAGGUUCCCCACCCCCAGUAGCACACUAUUGGACCUCGGCCUUGGCCUCCGCCUCUGCCUCCGAACAUUCCCAUCCGGCCGCCACCUCGGCCUCCACUGACAGUCUGCUGCAGCAUUGGCCCCGAGUUCUGUACGGCCCCUGAAGCUCCUACGUUAAAAACCAGCUUGCGACUACAGGUUGCUGCUGGAACUUGGGCGUCACACGAGUUGGAUGAAAAAAGCACUUCUUAGGCUUGUGGCCGAACUUCCCACAAUACGAACAAGGAGCUUUUGCCAGAACCAGAUUCGGACACUCACUAGGAUAGUGGCCAUAUCCUUGACACUUAAUGCACCAGAUCUCAGCUCUCUCAUGCACUGGCCGAGUUGGAGCUCCCAAACCCUGAACCAGACUCACUUGGAGUUCCGCCAUCUUCUUGUAACUGGAGAACUGAUGGUUGGACUGGAAUCAAAGGUGGAGCUGCUACUGCUCCAAGCACACCAAUCUGGUACUAUGCAAUAUUCGGUGAGAACAAGUUACCAUAUGUUGCUGCUGGAGCUGCAGCUGCAACAUUCCGUGACGCCAUCCAGGCCUGUUCCCAUGUUGCUGCAUGCUCCAUUGCUGCGUUCAAAUCUGCCGGUCUCUGCACCUUCACAUGGAACCCAAUCUCAAAUGGCAACCCAUUCAAGAACCAGCAGACUUGGUCAUCAGCAGUAGGCUGUGGAUCUUUCCUUGCGAGCAGCCUCUUGUAGCGAAGAACGUAAUUUUGCAAUGUCUCUCCAGGAUGGAAAGCAUUGAGAAAUGCCGUUUUGAUGUCUGCCCAGGCUGCAAAAGCUGUUGCUGCAUUCACCUGACCAUACCACUCUGUUGUUGCUCCCAGCAACAUUGCUGGAAACAAACAGACUCUCACAACAUCUCCUUGCUCCUGAUUUGCUGUGCUGAUAUUUUCGAAAGUAGUUACGUGAGCAUCUGGAUCGUCAGUCUGUGUAAACGUUAGAUACUUCAUCCUUGCGUUGGCAGGCUGUGCCAUUUGAGGAUUUACUGCUUGAGGUGUGGGCAAGGCUGGUUCAAAUGGCCCCCACUCCUCCCAAUUCAAACUUGAGUCCAAAGUCCUCGGACUAGUUUCAGGACUA